rnacentral:lncRNA from 1 species
UCCCCAGGUCAAGGAGACUCGGUGGAAAAAUUUCCAUGCAGAUCUUCCUGAAUCUUUUGUUUUUAUCUCCUCAAAAACUCCCCAAAGUGCUAUCUUUCCUAUGUGACCCUGGGGGACACCAUCUAUAAAAUGGAAAAAGUGACCGGGCCAAUCUCCUUCCUUCCCGAGCUCCUCUACUCUGGCUGACACUCCUUCCAGCUAGGUGAGUCCCCCGUCCUCUCCAGUUCCCAGCUUUGGCCCCGGAGAGCAUCUUGUCCCCCUCCCUCGCACCUCCCUUCCUCCCCCCCACCCCCCGCCCCCGUGCCCCAUCCGUAACCCUGCUCCACCCCAGCGGUAAGCGAAAUAUUCCUCUAGCAAGUCCCUGAAAUGAAUCAACAGGAAAAAAUGCUCCCAAACCCGGGUCGGCUGAUGUUUGGGGCGGCUCCUGGAGCCCUCUCCCUGGGACACUGAGGCAGCUGUGGGCCGGCAUGCCAGGUAUGCUGUUCCUGCCUUCCCUCAUCCCUAGCCACCUCUAAUGCUGAGCCAGGAACAACACUGGGCAACUGGGAAACGCCGAAGCCACCAGCUGCCAAUCAUUCUAUGCUGCCAGGUCCUAAAAAUACCCCCGAGAGGGCCGGAGGGUGGGGUGCCGUGGAGCUGAGCUGGGGAGAGGGGCGUCAUCCGGAUCUUCUGGGAACACUGGGGUGGAGGCUGAAGAACAGAAGAGAUUUAAAAUAGCAUUCUGAGAAAAGAAUCUUGGCCUUAAUAAGACUGACAAAGGAUUUUAGAACACAUGAAAGGUGAAGAACCCUUGGUCAAGAUUUUUCUGGAUUUCAAAAGGUACCUAGGCAGCCGUUAAGCUGUCUAUCAUUAUCCUGCACCUUCACUAUAUCUUUUUUCCAAUCAUACUGUUCUUGGGCAUUUUUUAAACCCUUACCUUCCAUCGUAGAAUCAAUACUGUGUACUGGUUCCAAGGCAAAAGAGCAGUAAGGGCUAGGCAAUGGGGGUUAAGGGACUCACUCUAGGACAUACAGCUAGGAAGAGUCUGAGGUCAGAUUUUCUGGGCACUUUUUCUGUGACUUCUUGAGUUUGUCAUUCAUGGUUAUAGAUAACUUCAAUCUCCUUAUAUCACCAUAAGUCUACCCAAACUUCUUGGAGCCAUCCACAACACUGAUUCUUUGGUAUUCCCAAUGCUCCAUGACUUUGGCCCUACAGAACCAUUAGAAGGAAGACUAUUAGGUGUUAAAAAUAGGAGAGAUGAGGACAGCUAGGUGGCUCAGUGUAGAGAGUCAGUCCUGGUGAUGGGAGGUCCUGGGUUCAAAUCUAGUCUCAGACUCUUCCUAGCUGUGUAACACCAGGCAAAUCACUUAAUCACCACUGCCUAGCCCUUAGAGCUCUUUUGCCUUGGAACUGAUACUUAGUAUUGAUUCUAAAACAGAAGAUAAGAGUUUAAUAUAUAUAUAUAUAUAUAUACACACACAUAU